AUAGACUAAGAGUUCCAACAGAAG
rnacentral:miRNA from 1 species